rnacentral:rRNA from 1 species
GAUGAACGCUGGCGGCGUGCCUAAUACAUGCAAGUCGAGCGAACAGACGAGGAGCUUGCUCCUCUGACGUUAGCGGCGGACGGGUGAGUAACACGUGGAUAACCUACCUAUAAGACUGGGAUAACUUCGGGAAACCGGAGCUAAUACCGGAUAAUAUAUUGAACCGCAUGGUUCAAUAGUGAAAGACGGUUUUGCUGUCACUUAUAGAUGGAUCCGCGCCGCAUUAGCUAGUUGGUAAGGUAGCGGCUUACCAAGGCAACGAUGCGUAGCCGACCUGAGAGGGUGAUCGGCCACACUGGAACUGAGACACGGUCCAGACUCCUACGGGAGGCAGCAGUAGGGAAUCUUCCGCAAGGGGCGAAAGCCUGACGGAGCAACGCCGCGUGAGUGAUGAAGGUCUUCGGAUCGUAAAACUCUGUUAUUAGGGAAGAACAAAUGUGUAAGUAACUAUGCACGUCUUGACGGUACCUAAUCAGAAAGCCACGGCUAACUACG